UACAGAGGUCUCAAGCGUUGUUCGGAAUCACUGGGCGUAAAGCGCACGUAGGCGGACUUUCAAGUCAGGGGUGAAAUCCCGGAGCUCAACUUCGGAAUUGCCUUUGAUACUGUAGGUCUCGAGUCCGGAAGAGGUGGGUGGAAUUCCUAGUGUAGAGGUGAAAUUCGUAGAUAUUAGGAAGAACACCGGUGGCGAAGGCGGCCCACUGGUCCGGUACUGACGCUGAGGUGCGAAAGCGUGGGGAGCAAACAGG
rnacentral:rRNA from 1 species